CGGCACGUAGCGCAGCCUGGUAGCGCACCGUCAUGGGGUGUCGGGGGUCGGAGGUUCAAAUCCUCUCGUGCGACCA
rnacentral:tRNA from 3 species